CAAUAGCGUAUAUUAAAGUUGUUGCAGUUAAAAAGCUCGUAGUUGGAUUUCUGGUUGAAGCGACCGGUCGGGCGUUGAUUCGUCUGCACUGGAGUCGGUUUUGGCCAUCCUCUAGGAAAGUGCGUCUGGUAUUAAGUUAUCGGGCGUAUGAUCCUGGUCUUUUACUGUGAAAAAAUUAGAGUGUUUAAAGCAGGCCUUCGCCUUGAAUACAUUAGCAUGGAAUAAUAAGGUAGGACUUUGGUCUAUUUUGUUGGUUUGCAGACCGAAGUAAUGAUUAAUAGGGAUAGUUGGGGGUAUUUAUAUUCCGAUGUCAGAGGUGAAAUUCUUAGAUUUUCGGAAGAUAAACUUAUGCGAAAGCAUUUACCAAGGAUGUUUUCAUUAA
rnacentral:rRNA from 1 species